rnacentral:rRNA from 1 species
AUUGAACGCUGGCGGCAGGCCUAACACAUGCAAGUCGAACGGUAACAGGAAGAAGCUUGCUUCUUUGCUGACGAGUGGCGGGCGGGUGAGUAAUGUCUGGGAAACUGCCUGAUGGAGGGGGAUAACUACUGGAAACGGUAGCUAAUACCGCAUAACGUCGCAAGACCAAAGAGGGGGACCUUCUGGCCUCUUGCCCUCGGAUGUGCCCAGAUGGGAUUAGCUAGUAGGUGGGGUAACGGCUCACCUAGGCGACGAUCCCUAGCUGGUCUGAGAGGAUGACCAGCCACACUGGAACUGAGACACGGUCCAGACUCCUACGGGAGGCAGCAGUGGGGAAUAUUGCACAAUGGGCGCAAGCCUGAUGCAGCCAUGCCGCGUGUAUGAAGAAGGCCUUCGGGUUGUAAAGUACUUUCAGCGGGGAGGAAGGGAGUAAAGUUAAUACCUUUGCUCAUUGACGUUACCCGCAGAAGAAGCACCGGCUAACUCCGUG